UUCUUCAAAUUAGUCUCCAGUGGCGGUCUUUAUAUCUUUGGUUGUAGUGGAGCUUCAAGGUGGACAGUGCCAGAGCUGUUCGGCAACUCAGUAGGCCACAGAACGCAUGGACAUGAGUAUGGGACUCGCACAGCGUCGUUUCGACAGCGUUCCGGGGCCCCUGUCACUCCCACAUAUGGAUGUCAGCUACAAGUUGAUGAGCCUGGUGUGAUGCCAUGAUCUGGACACAGGUGAACCUCCCCCCCCUCCAGUUUUAAUGGACUUUAUGGGCCUGUAGAAACAGUGAAGACCAGAAUCACACAAUUUAAGUUGUAAUAGCUUUAUUGAAAAAAAAAAAAAGCCCUGACAA